GGUUGAUCCUGCCAGUAGUCAUAUGCUUGUCUCAAAGACUAAGCCAUGCAUGUCUAAGUAUAAACACCUUUAUACUGCGAAACUGCGAACGGCUCAUUAUAUCAGUUAUAAUCUACUUGAUCGUAUCCUCUUACUUGGAUAACCGUAGUAAUUCUAGAGCUAAUACAUGCAAAAGAUCCCGACUGGUGACGGAAGGGAUGUAUUUAUUAGGUACAAAAUCAAUGCUGGCUUCACGGCCAGUUGAAUUGAUGAUUCAUAAUAACUAAACGAAGCGCAGGCCUCGCGUCGGCG
rnacentral:rRNA from 1 species